rnacentral:misc_RNA from 1 species
GAUGAAGAACGCAGCGAAAUGCGAUAAGUAGUGUGAAUUGCAGAAUUCAGUGAAUCAUCGAAUCUUUGAACGCACAUUGUGCCCCUUGGUAUUCCAUGGGGCAUGCCUGUUCGAGCGUCAUUUGUACCUUCAAGCUCUGCUUGGUGUUGGGUGUUUGUCUCGCCUCUGCGCGUAGACUCGCCUCAAAACAAUUGGCAGCCGGCGUAUUGAUUUCGGAGCGCAGUACAUCUCGCGCCUUGCACUCAUAACGACGACGUCCAAAAGUACAUUUUUACACUCUUGACCUCGGAUCAGGUAGGGAUACCCGCUGAACUUAAGCAUAUCAAUAAGCGGAGGA